GACGAACCGUGCGAACGUUAUUCGGAAUCACUGGGCUUAAAGCGCGUGUAGGCGGAUGGGAACGUCGGUCUCUGAAAGCCCCCGGCUCAACCGGGGAAGUGGAACCGAAACGACCUGUCUGGAGGGACGUAGGGGGACCUGGAACUUCCGGUGGAGCGGUGAAAUGCGUUGAGAUCGGAAGGAACGCCCGUGGCGAAAGCGAGGUCCUGGACGUCUGCUGACGCUGAGACGCGAAAGCUAGGGGAGCAAACAGG
rnacentral:rRNA from 1 species